GUCAGGCAUGGUGGCACAUGCCUGUAAUCUUAGCAGCUUGGGAGGCUGAGGUAGGAGGAUCGCUAGUUCAAAGCCAGCCUCAGCAAAAGCAAGGUGCUGAGCAACUCAGUGAGACCCCGUCUCUG
rnacentral:sRNA from 1 species